ACCUAAUAGAUACCCUGGUAGUCCACGCCCUAAACGAUGCGAACUGGAUGUUGGGUACAUUACGGUACUCAGUGUCGAAAGCUAAACGCGUUAAGUUCGCCGCCUGGGGAGUACGGUCGCAAGACUGAAGCUCAAAGGAAUUGACGGGGGCCCGCACAAGCGGUGGAGUAUGUGGUUUAAAUUCGAUGCAACGCGAAGAACCUUACCUGGCCUUGACAUCUGUCGAAUCCUGCAGAGAUGCGGGAGUGCCGCAAGGAACGACAAGACAGGUGCUGCAUGGCUGUCGUCAGCUCGUGUCGUGAGAUGUUGGGUUUAAGUCCCGCAACGAGCGCAACCCUUGUCCCUAGUUGCCAGCACAUCAUGGUGGGAACUCUAGGGAGACUGCCGGUGACAAACCGGGAGGAAGGUGGGGAUGACGUCAAGUCCUCAUCGGCCCUUACGG
rnacentral:rRNA from 1 species